CUUGUAAAGAGGCAGACUGUUAAUAUUAACCAAGAUGACGGCUUAAGCACUGUUAGAUUUCCAGCAUACUACUGUAAUCCCUCCCCGUUCUGUUACUUUCAAGAAUGACUCCCAUUACACUCAGCUAUUUAGAGGCUAGCUGUGUGUGUAAGGCUUUUAAUCCACCACAGCCACAUAUGCUACAACCACAGUAGAACCAAUACAAAAGAGGGUGUUAAGGGCUACGCUAAAAAAUUACAAUUAAAAUUAAAAUAAAUCAGCAAGUAAUAGUGAAAACAGAUAUAAUCAAUAGACAAAGUGCGUCCAAGAAUAAAUUAAAACAGUCUCACUGAUGUGUGAUGAUAAGAUAAUAGUCCUCAGGUGUUGAUCUGUCCAUAUGGUGGCAAAUAGUCCAUAUACGUGGAAAUAGAAAACAAAAAGAAAGCUUCCAAUGGUGAAAUAUUGUAUGUCCAAUUGUGAUGUAUAAAUCAAGAGAAAGGUAUUUCACUCACAUUUGUUGGAGCUUGAACCAGCUCUAGGAGAAGAGGAACUUAGUGGUUUGAUCCCCACUAUAGGAUAUACUUGGAUAGUUGGUCCGUCUGUCCGGCUUGGGAUUUCCUUGGUGUAGGCUGGGACCUGGUCAGAUGUGCGUAAUUCUUUAGUGCUGGGGGGAUAGGUCCGCCUCUCCAAUUUUGGAUAGUGGGUAUCCACGAAAUAUAUAUAAAACAGCAGAUAGUGCUCUCAGUAUGAACAAUAAAACAAUUUUAUAAUUCAUUUUAUUGUUCAUACUGAGAGCACUAUCUGCUGUUGUAUAUAUUUUCGUGUGAACAUCUUGCACAUGGCUACUCUGUGCUGGAUUGUCUCAAAGGUCUCUGUGCACAAUCUGCACCUUAGAUCCCAUCCAGGGAUAGCUUCUAUUAAUCUGGUGCUGAGUGCCUUUUCCUGUGCUGCAAGGAUUCAUGCCCAAGUGUUGUCUUUUAGUCCUACUUUUUCCAACCACUUGUAAGAUUUUGUAAUGUGGGUCACAUGCAUUAUUUGUCAGUGGUACGUCCUAUGGAAAAUGUUGUCUUGCCUUGGGACCUCCUCCUUAUCUGCAUCAUCUUUCUGUUGUUGUCUCAUUCAUUCCCUUAGCAGGUCAUCUUUGUGAGCCAUCUUUGUGAUAUACAUGCGGAUGGGCAGAGUUUCGUCUAGAUCUAUGGCCUUAACAUUUAUUAGGCCCCACUUCAAUCCUUUUGGCACAAACUCUGAGUGCUGGACUUUUGGUGGAAUCCUUCAUACAUUAUGCAUUGUUUGUGGGUCUUGAUAUUCAUGGCCAGGUUAUUUUGCCAGUUUGGUACCUGGUGAAUGAUAGGGCACAUUUGUUAAUAUACUUGUUCUUGGCAUUGAGCUGGGUCAUCAGGAACAGUCUGACUCUCUGGUGGUACUUGGAUGUUUGCUUCUUUCUCAUGGUUGCCUUGUGUUUGUGGUAUGCCCAGGUAUUCUAGCAGUUCUUUAAAUUUCCAAUGAGAGAGGCUACAUGAAAUGUCUGUCGUUGCUAUGGAUGAAUAAGAGACCAUCAGCAUUUCUAUCUGAGCAGCAGGAAAUGCUAGCAGAAUGCUUGGUUGUAUAGGGAGAAGUAUUAGCAGUAGAAAGAGGGAAGUGCUCAUGCCAUUGUACAGAACACUGGUGAGAUCUCACUUGGAGUAUUGUACCCACUACUGAAGACUAUAUCGUCAUAAGGAUAUUGGUACUUUGGAAAGAGUUCAGAGAAGGGCUACUAAAC
rnacentral:lncRNA from 1 species